UCAUUCUGAAGCUGUUUUGGUGUCUUUCCUGCCAUCUAGUGACACAGAUGGCAGGGAAGACUCCAAAACAGCUUCAGAAUGA